CUGCUGCCUUCCGUAGGAGUUUGGACUGUGUCUCAGUUCCAAUGUGGGGGACCGUUCCUCUCAGAACCCCUACCGCAUCGUCGGCUUGGUGGGCCGUUGCCCCACCAACUACCUAAUGCGCCGCAUGCCCAUCCGUGACCGGGGUCGCCCCUUUGGCCGGCAGGGGAUGUCCCCUCCCGGCAUUAUGUUGUAUUAGGCGGGAUUUCUCCCGGGUUAUCCAUCUGUCACGGCCAGGUUGCAUACGUGUUACUCACCCGUGCGCCCGGUCGCCGGCGG
rnacentral:rRNA from 1 species